AGGGCAGAGGCCACCCCUAAACUGGCCACUGUGCCAGGAGACCGUGCAAGUCGAACCGCCGGUUCAUGGAGAUGAGACUGAGGCCCUGGGCCACCAACUUAAGCCUAGUCGCGAGUUAGCUCACCAGCCCGGCUCGCGCGGCGAGGCCCAGGCUGCGGACUAGGUUCUCGAAGAAAAAAAGUGUUGACCAUUUUCGG